rnacentral:rRNA from 1 species
GGUGCGGCCCCGGGGGCUUGCUCCCGGGUGGUAGGGGUAACACCCUCACGCGCUGCCUGCCUGUACCCUCUUUUACGAGCACCUUUCGUUCUCCUUCGGCGGGGCAACCUGCCGCUGGAACCAAAACAAAACCUUUUUUGCAUCUAGCAUUACCUGUUCUGAUACAAAUAAUCGUUACAACUUUCAACAAUGGAUCUCUUGGCUCUGGCAUCGAUGAAGAACGCAGCGAAAUGCGAUAAGUAGUGUGAAUUGCAGAAUUCAGUGAAUCAUCGAAUCUUUGAACGCACAUUGCGCCCCUUGGUAUUCCAUGGGGCAUGCCUGUUCGAGCGUCAUCUACACCCUCAAGCUCUGCUUGGUGUUGGGCGUCUGUCCCGCCUCUGCGCGCGGACUCGCCCCAAAUUCAUUGGCAGCGGUCUUUGCCUCCUCUCGCGCAGCACAAUUGCGUCUGCGGGGGGGCGUGGCCCGCGUCCACGAAGCAACAUUACCGUCUUUGACCUCGGAUCAGGUAGGGAUACCCGCUGAACUUAAGCAUAUCAAUA